GUUUGACACUGGCUUUGAAGUUGCCUGGCUUACUUCUGAAUGAAAAGUUAGCUCCCAGCGAAGCGGUUCUCAAGUGUUUUUCUUCCACCUACCGCUUUCUCUUACAGAUUACAGUCAAAUUUUACAGCUUGCCUUUAAGCUCACAGAAACCUGCAUGCAAACCAAGCUGGCUGCCUUUCUCCAGCACAGGCCAUGCUGAGGAGGGAAAGGAGCAAGGGAGAUUUGUGCUGAGAAGGAGGUGCUGGGCUUAGCAUGCACCAAGUUCCAAGAAAAAGGAACUCCUUGCCACUUUUUCCAGGACCUGAUAAAAGAGUGCCAUUAGAUAAUACCAUCAAAUAAACUUGUCCUCCUUGAUACAGGAGGGGAUAGGAAACCGUAAUAAAAGUUGAGACACUCAAAGAAUACUUAUGUAAAUCAUCAUCCCUUUAUGAUUCAAACUUUUGCUGUAGGUUUCACCCUUUAUCCUUGCAGAUAAAUAAGGAGAAACAAUGGAAUUUGCUUUUAUGAGCUUUCAUAAAGCCACAAUUGCUUCACAGCAUUCUCUGGUAGGAACAGUGAAGUUAGGGGAGGUUCUCAUUAGCUGUGCUAGGUCUGGAACCGUGGAGCAGCACCCCUAUGGACUCACUGCAGUCCUGUCCCUCUUGUGCUACAGCUGUCCCUAGGUGGGCUUGGAUGAGUCAUGGUUCUAAGUGCUUGAGAUGUUUGUGGAAGAGGAGCUGCUGAGAAGCAAAACCUUAAGCUGAAGCCUAGGGAAAGCAGAAGAAUCCCCCUUCCUGUCGUUGCAGCAAAGAGAAAGAGAGGUCACUCUGGAAUUGGGGAUUUGAAGAGUCACAGGUAAACAGAUUUAUGAAGCUACUGCCAGUUGAAGAAGUCCAUUCCAAACAUGAAAGGCAACAUCAGGAGAAGUAUAGAAGUGCUCGAGUGGCUGGAAGACAUAUGAACAAUUUAGACUAGGUUUAUUGGAGGAACAGAACAGUGUUCUAUUUCUAUUCCUGAAGAUAUCAAGUCAUGCAAGGCCACCAUCAUCUUUCUACAUGGAAUAUCACUGAACUCACUUUGCCAGAUGAUUUUUCCUAGUGAUUAAUCAAUUUUUUUAAGACAUGGAACCUGGCUCAUCCCAUCACAUUUCUCUACAAGGUUGGGUCCUUAGAAGCUGAGUUGGAAACUGAUGGUCAGUAACUUGUAAUAAAUAAAUAAAGUGUUUAACACUAAUAUUAUUUCUAUAUUUAUUAAACUGUAAUGAAACCAUCUAUUUUUAUUUUUAAAAUAAAUUGAUUGAUUAAUUAAAUAAAUAAAAAUUUAAUUUGAUUAAUUUAUUAAACCAUAAAGAAACAUUUGUGAGUUUCAUUCUUUCUAACAGUGAUUCUAUUUAUUGCAAUAGCAUUAGAUGGUGUAUGGUAUGAAAUAUAUGUCAGAUGACACAAUUCCUAUUAAAGGUCUAGGAUAUUAAUUUAAAGGUGUUUUCAAUUCCUUCCAAGGAAAAUCAGACAGGAUAAAAUUCCCUUUUUCCCAGAGUAGCUUCAGUCACACAUCACCAGUAUAAUAUAUGUCAUUUAAUAACAACAAGGGCAUGAAGGCCAGUGCAAGUUGAACUUAUGCAA